UCCCUGGUGGCUCAGACGGUAAAGAAUUUGCCUGCAAUGCAGGAGACCCAGGUUCAAUUCCUGGGUUGGGAA
rnacentral:tRNA from 1 species